AUUGAACGCUGGCGGCAGGCCUAACACAUGCAAGUCGAACGAGUGGCGGACGGGUGAGUAAUGUCUGGGAAACUGACUGAUGGAGGGGGAUAACUACUGGAAACGGUAGCUAAUACCGCAUACAAUCAGAUGUGGCCCGGUGGGAUUAGGUUGGUGGGUGGGUAAAGGCUCACCAAGGCGACGAUCCCUAGCUGGUCUGAGAGGAUGACCAGCCACGCUGGAACGGAGACACGGUCCAGACUCCUACGGGAGGCAUCAGUGGGGAAUAUUACACAAUGGGCGCAAGCCUGAUGCAGCCAUGCCGCGUGUAUGAAGAAGGCCUUCGGGUUGUAAAGUACUUUCAGCGGGGAGGCGUUACCCGCAGAAGAAGCACCGGCUAACUCCGUGCCAGCAGCCGCGGUAAUUC
rnacentral:rRNA from 1 species